rnacentral:lncRNA from 1 species
GAGGAGGUGGAGAUUCGUAGUGGUAUGGAGGAGGUGGUGAUUUUUCUGGUGGUGGUGGGGACUUGUAGUGGUAUGGAGGAGGAGGUGAGUGCUCCGGUGGCGGUGGAGAUUUGUAGUAGUAUGGAGGAGGAGGCGAGUGCACCGGUGGCGGUGGGGAUUUGUAGUAGUAUGGGGGAGGAGGUGAGUGCACCGGUGGCGGUGGGGAUUUGUAGUAGUAUGGAGGAGGUGGAGAGUGCACCGGAGGUGGUGGGGAUUUGUAAUAGUAUUUAGGAGAAGGGGGUGGCGGUGACUUGUAAUAGUAUUUGGGAGAAGGUGGCUUGUAGUAAUACGUUGGUGCGGGUGGCGGCGGCGACUUGUAGUAGUAUUUUGGAGAAGGUGGUGGUGGCGAUUUGUAGUGGUAUUUGGGAGAAGGCGGUGGUGGUGACUUGUAGUGGUAUUUUGGAGAAGGUGGUGGUGGCGAUUUGUAGUAGUAUUUGGGAGAAGGCGGCUUGUAGUGAUACGUUGGUGCCGGUGGCGGUGGUGACUUGUAAUAAUACGUCGGUGUGGGAGGCGGAG